rnacentral:lncRNA from 1 species
UUUCUGUCACUGGCCCUGGGGAAAGCCAGCCACAACUAUAACCUCAUAAGGAUACUUCAGCAUCUCUGGGAGAGGCUCCUAGAGAGAGAAACUGAGGUCUCCUGUCAACAGCCAGCACUGACUGUGAGUGAUGCAGUAGAGCCCCAUCAUCUUGAUUUCCACAUCAUGAUAGAUCUUGAGUCAGGUCUCCCCAGCCAAGCCUAUGCAUCUUCUCGUCCCACAGAAAUUAUAAAAGAUAAAACAUGCUUAUCAUUGUUUUAAGCCACUAAAUUUUGUAGUAAGUUAUAGCAAAGCAAUAGAUAACAAUACACAUGGUAUGGUCUUCACAUGUCCGUAAGAUAGAUAGUAUUCCUCUGGUCAAUUUACAGAUGAAGCAAGAGGCAGAGAGAGGUUAAGUAGCACGUUUUAGGUCACACGGUGGAGAUGUGUAACCGAUAGAGAGGGGACUCAAGCACAACCAUUUGGCUCCCAAAGUUUAUUCUUAUAAUGCUAAUAUUGCACUACAUCACAUUUCCCUCUGAGCUCUCAAAUAUACUUUAUAUUUCAUUUAAUCCCUUUUUGCAUUAAAUACCUCUCUCCUGUAGACUUCCAACCUUCUGCUCCAAGAGGGCUUAGCUGGUACUCCUCUUUUCUCUUGCUUAGAUCUACUUUCCUGGGUCCCUACCAUCAUCUUUUGAGAAUAAAAUUUCCUCUUUUCCAACAUCAAGAAAAUAUUGAUUGUUAUUUUGCCUCAAAUACUGAUUUGUCAUUCUUGCCCAAAAUCCAAACCAUAAAUGGGGUACCUCAGAAAAGAUUUUAAAUGAAUUGCUGUCAAUCGGUGAUAGUGGCAUUUAUGUUCUCAGGCCUCCCAUGGUCAGCUAGCUAAUCGGUGGAUACUUCACUUCAGAUGUCUCUGAAGGUCAGCAUAACAAACUAACCUAACUCCACAUAACUCAGAGCCUACAUAAAUCCUACUCUUUGCUUUGUUCAAAGAUUGCAUAUUAUACCCACAAUUCUUCUGUCUUGCAAGUAAUAAAUUUGGUUUAUUUGCCUCACGUAUUUGUAAAGAGCGGUCUUUUCCUUUGAUUCUUUUUUCCAGCCUCUUGAUUUGCUGGAGAAAACCUUGAAAUAAGUUAGACUAUGUGGGAGAUAAACUUUGAGUCAUCAUAUGCCUGAAAAUUCCUUCUUCCUGACCAAUUUGAUUGAUUGUUUGCCUGGAAAUAGAAUUUGAAGUCACGUAUCACAUUCUUCCUCAAAUUUUGAAGGGAUUGCAUCAUUGUCUUCUGACAUCCAGUGAUUGCUGAUGACAACUCUCAUGCCAAUAUGAUUCAUAUUCCUUCAGAAGUGAUUUUCUUUUGCUCUCUAAAAAAUUUUUAAGACUCUUUUCUCUAUUUUGAUGUUCUGAAAUUUCAGAAUUUUUUAGAUACCAGUCAUCUUUAAUUUUUUAAUAACUGUGCUAGCUAUUUUGUGAUCCUUUGGAGUCUUAAGACUCACAACCUUUUGCUUUCAUAUAUGCCAUGCUUUUGCUCUUCUGUUUAUAUUCUAGUAAAUUUCCUAAACUUUAUUUUCCAGUCCUUCGGCUGAAAUUUUUAAUGUUAAUAAUGAUUAAUUUUAUGUGUCAACUUGGGUAAGCCACAAUACCCAGAUAUUUGGUCAAACCUAGUCUAGAUGUUGCUGGGAAAUUACUGUUUUGGGUGAAAUUAGCCUUUAAAUUAGUAGACUUGAAUAAAGAAGAUUGCUCAUUCAGUCAGUUGAAGGCCUUGAGAGAAAGAAGACUGAGACUCCCCAAGGAAAAGGAAAUUCUGUCCCCAGACUUUCUUUGGACUCAAGCUGUAACAGCCACUUUCUCCUGAGUCUCUAGGGUGAUGGACUUCACAGAAGAUUUUGGAUUAGCCAGCUCCACAACUGUGUGAGCCAGUUCCUUAGAAUAAAUCUUCCUCUCUUUCUUCACCCACUCCAUAUCUCCUCUCUUGGUAUUUUUCUUUUAUGUUGCAUUCCUCUAAUAUUUCUGUGAUACUUAGUUGUCCAUUUGUAUUUAUGAAGAGAAAAUGAAAUAAAUUGAUAUCUCACCAAUUUUGUAGAUAAAAUAAAAAAUAUGAGUGUAUUCCCCAAUAGUGCUUAGCUCCAGGGUAUAGACAGUGGCUCCUUCUCAGAGGCAA